GGUGAACGCUGGCGGCGUGCCUAACACAGCAAGUCGAGCGGUGCAGUUUGAAGCUUCGGUGGAAAGCUGCAUAGCGGCGGACGGGUGAGGAAAACGUAGGAACGUGCCCCUUGGAGUUGGAUAGCCACGGGAAACUGUGGGUAAACCGACAUAGACUCGAGAGAGUAAAGGCCGAAAGGCGCCAAGGGAGCGGCCUGCGGCCCAUCAGGUAGUUGGUAGUGUAAAGGACUACCAAGCCGACGACGGGUAGCCGGUCUGAGAGGAUGGCCGGCCACAAGGGCACUGAGAGACGGGCCCUACUCCUACGGGAGGCAGCAGUGGGGGAUUUUGGACAAUGGGCGAAAGCCUGAUCCAGCGACGCCGCGUGGAGGACGAAGCCCUUCGGGGUGUAAACUCCUUUUCUCAGGGAAAAAAGGAUGAUGGUACCUGAGGAAUAAGCCCCGGCUAACUACGUGCCAGCAGCCGCGGUAAUAUUACGUGUA
rnacentral:rRNA from 1 species